rnacentral:piRNA from 1 species
UCUUCAGAGGUCACCCUACUCAGUUC